CCUACGAGUGGCUGCAGUCGAGAAUCAUUCACAAUGGGGGAAACCCUGAUGGUGCGACGCCGCGUGGGGGAAUGAAGGUCUUCGGAUUGUAAACCCCUGUCAUGUGGGAGCAAAUUAAAAAGCUAGUACCACACGAGGAAGAGACGGCUAACUCUGUGCCAGCAGCCGCGGUACUACAGAGGGCUCAAGCGGUGUACGGAAUCACUUGGCGUAAAGCGGGCGGAGGCGGUUUUGUAAGUCGUGUGUGAAAGGCGCGGGCUCAACCCGCGGACGGCACAUGAUACUGGGAGACUAGAGUAAUGGAGGGGGAGCCGGAAUUCUCGGUGUAGCAGUGAAAUGCGUAGAUAUCGAGAGGAACACUCGUGGCGAAGGCGGGUUCCUGGACAUUAACUGACGCUGAGGCACGAAGGCCAGGGGAGCGAAAGGGAUUAGAUACCCUUGUAGUC
rnacentral:rRNA from 1 species